GAUGAACGCUAGCGGCAGGCUUAACACAUGCAAGUCGAGGGGUAGAAGCAGCUUGCUGCUUUGAGACCGGCGCACGGGUGCGUAACGCGUAUGCAAUCUACCUUUUACAGAGGGAUAGCCCAGAGAAAUUUGGAUUAAUACCUCAUAGUAUGUGAGAAUCGCAUGGUUUUCACAUUAAAGUUCCAACGGUAAAAGAUGAGCAUGCGUCCCAUUAGCUAGAUGGUAAGGUAACGGCUUACCAUGGCGACGAUGGGUAGGGGUCCUGAGAGGGAGAUCCCCCACACUGGUACUGAGACACGGACCAGACUCCUACGGGAGGCAGCAGUGAGGAAUAUUGGACAAUGGGCGCAAGCCUGAUCCAGCCAUGCCGCGUGCAGGAAGACGGUCCUAUGGAUUGUAAACUGCUUUUAUACAGGAAGAAACACCUCUACGUGUAGAGACUUGACGGUACUGUAUGAAUAAGGAUCGGCUAACUCCGUG
rnacentral:rRNA from 1 species